GACGAACGCUGGCGGCGUGCUUAACACAUGCAAGUCGAACGGAAAGGCCCUGCUUUUGUGGGGUGCUCGAGUGGCGAACGGGUGAGUAACACGUGAGUAACCUGCCCUUGACUUUGGGAUAACUUCAGGAAACUGGGGCUAAUACCGGAUAGGAGCUCCUGCUGCAUGGUGGGGGUUGGAAAGUUUCGGCGGUUGGGGAUGGACUCGCGGCUUAUCAGCUUGUUGGUGGGGUAGUGGCUUACCAAGGCUUUGACGGGUAGCCGGCCUGAGAGGGUGACCGGCCACAGUGGGACUGAGAUACGGCCCAGACUCCUGCGGGAGGUUGCAGUGGGGAAGAUUGCACAAGGGGCGGAAGCCUGAUGCAGCAACGCCGCGUGCGGGAUGACGGCCUUCGGGUUGUAAACCGCUUUCGCCUGUGACGAAGCGUGAGUGACGGUAAUGGGUAAAGAAGCACCGGCUAACGACGUG
rnacentral:rRNA from 1 species